CGCAUUUAUAAAUAAAUACGACUCAUCACUGUAUGAGUUGAUACGAAUUGAAUAAACACGUGUUUCCGCUUUGAUGUAAACAUAAUGGUGAUCCGAAAUCUGAACGUCAAUUUUCAUGAUUAUUUCACGACGAAGAUCCUCACAUCAAUGAAUCAAAUAAUACGGACAUGCCUUUGGUAUUAGCAGGGUGCUUUCACCAUAUGCAACAAUACUUUCAUCUGUGAAUACCCACUUUCUAAGCCCACCAUGAACUACGAAGGUCAAUUAAUAUGUAAGGACACCAAUGAACAGACACUUUCCAAUUAUCGGACAUCAUAGACAUGGAUGGUCAAAUUCACUGGAUGGUUUAUCAACACUCCCGUGCUCACGAACAGCCUUGCCCAAGGGAUUUUGCCCUGAAGUAACAUUGCGUCUAUUGUCUACUUUCUUU